UACGUAGGUGGCAAGCGUUGUCCGGAAUUAUUGGGCGUAAAGAGCUUGUAGGCGGUUUGUCGCGUCUGCUGUGAAAAUCCGGGGCUCAACCCCGGACUUGCAGUGGGUACGGGCAGACUAGAGUGAUGUAGGGGAGACUGGAAUUCCUGGUGUAGCGGUGAAAUGCGCAGAUAUCAGGAGGAACACCGAUGGCGAAGGCAGGUCUCUGGGCAUUAACUGACGCUGAGGAGCGAAAGCAUGGGGAGCGAACAGG
rnacentral:rRNA from 1 species